CCUACCGCUAGAGGCAUUGCAGGUGUGGCUGCUGUGUCACAGGUACCUCAGAAGGUGGCAGAGAGAAGAGAGGCUUUGUCUAAGUUCAGUGUUCUGACCUAUGAACAUCUAAAUGAUUAGUAGCCUAACAUU